GGGCCGGCGCGCCCCGGUGCAUGCUGGGAGCUGUAGUUCUCCCGCGGAGCGAGCUGGGACCGCGGUCCCGGGGCUCCAGUGGCCAGGGCGGGGCGGCCUCUGUCCUGCGUUUCAUCCAGGACAAGGGUUUCUGUUCUGCCAGAUUUUCUGCCACCGAGGCCACCUUGCAGAAUAUGGCAGCGCAGUUUAAUGAUGAGCUGCAGGAUUCACCAAUUUAGGUGUGCAACAACUGUAUCCCCUGGAUUGACCCUGGACCAAAACCUGCAGCCCUGGCAGCCCAGAAUAACCUCCUGCUGAUGGCAAUGGGAAUUUAGCUUUGUCACUAGCUGCUGGAACCUCAGAUAUGCCGUACAUUUUGUGGCAGACACAGCUUCAUCCAAAGAAGUGAAGGAUGUGUGCCCUUGAAGACCCACUCCUCCACACCGGCAGAGUGCCUCCAUCUGAUAAGGUUGUGACCCAGGAGAAAUAGUGCCACAAUUCACAAAGCAAGAGUGUGGAGGUAGACCAUCAAUGAAAGACUAUGGGGCAGGAGCAGCUGAUAAAGCUUCUGGAGGGCCAGAGAGAGAUUUUGAAGUCCCUCAUUAGCCUGCAAUCAGAGCACAUCUGUGCCUGAUUCCCGCUUCAGCCACUACAGAACUCCAGUCCAUACCCUCCCCACACUUGCCCCAUGGCAUUUCUUGCAUGUUCCUAGUCCCUCACAGAACCCAGUGCACUCCACACCUAGGGAAUGAUUGUCCAAUGAAAGCUGGAGUUACCCCCAGCUGUGAGAGCUCUAAUCACGAGACUUUCCUCAUUUUCAUAUCCCCUAUUUGAUCAAAAGUUCGCUUUUUAUCCUGUUGUUAAACUUGAGUCUUUAAAAUAAAAUGAAUCUUUAUUUGUGACAUACAUCACUCAGUGCUAACAUUGAAACACAGUGGCUAUAGGUUUGAAUAUUUGCUCCUUGCAAAUAGCGCUCAGGAAGCAAGCACUACAGGGGUAAUUCAUGGCAGCAAGUAAACCUUGCCGGGCCAAAUGCAUCACAUAAAGAUACAUUACUGUGAAUCAUUGUCAAAAUGCUCCUUCAAAGCCUCUCUGAUUCGAAUAGCCGCCUGCCCUGCGCCCCUCUAAUUGCCCUUAUAUCUGGCUGCUCAAAAUCAGCAGCCAGCCGUCCACACCUGCGGAAACUUCCCCCCUUCGAUUCACAAACAUUAUGCAGAGUACAGCAGGCCACAAUGACCAUCAGAAUAUUUUCCUCAUUGAGGCUGUCAUAAAUUUAAAGGGAAGGGUAAACAACUUUAAAUUCCUCUUGGCCAGAGGAAAAUCCCUUUCACCUGUA